ACCAGGUUUGCCGAUGUGCGAUGUAGGAAGUCUUGACGAGCGUUGCGAACCUUGCGGUGGGUACGAGCGACUUUCGCCUUCGCCUUACGCCGAUUCAUACUGCCGCGUUGGCAACGAGCCAUUCUGCGCUGAUAGCGGGCAAGGUUGCGAGAUUUGCGUUCCAAGUGACAUGGGUUGCGAAUUCGCUCGCCGUCGCUGGUUACGGCAAAGUUCUUUAUCCCCACAUCGAUGCCAACAGCGUGCUUCGUCUCCUCCAAGGGAGCUGGCGCAUCGAUGUCGACUGCGAACGCGACGUACCAGCGGCCGUCCGGUUCCCGCGAGAUGAUUACCGUCGUCGGCUUGAGCGCGACCAAGUCGAUAUUGUCCCAGCUCCAGACGAAUCGCAGCGGCGCGGAUGCCUUCGCCAGCCACAGCUGACCAUCCCGCAUGCGAAACGCUGCCCGGGUGUAGUGGGCCGAUUGGCGCCAGUUUCGGUUCUUGAAUCUCGGAUACUUGGCUCCUCCGGCAAAGAAGUUCGCGAAGGCGGCGUGCUGGUGACGGAGUGUCUGCUGCAACGGCACCGACGACACUUCGGAAAGGAAUGCUAGCUCGCGC
rnacentral:antisense_RNA from 1 species